GUGAAUUUAGAGGUCGAAAGACGACCUUCCUCUUCACCAUCUUUCUGACCUCCGAUUGGAGUUCCUCUGGCCGCUUCACCGCAGGCUCUGGCUUCCUUUUCUCCAGGUACCUUUCUAUGGAGAGAUUAUGGACGUUUGCUGGUGAUGGUGGAUGGCGUGUGAGGCUCAGCUUAAGCACUUUUGGACUAACUCUGAAAACAAGAACCUGUACUGUCUGCGCAGGAAGUCUCUGUGAUGACCAGGUCUCACCGUCCAGAUCUGCAGGCAGCUCAGCCUUCAGAACCGUGACAGAGCCAAGUGAUUGUUGGCUCUAUAAACAUUUGUGAACCACGUGGGAUGAAUUGGAGGGAUACAGGCAUGGAUGACCUGUAAUGCUUGCCCAUAGGCUGUGCAGGGGCUGGCUGUGGUCAGGACUCAGCAGGUGAAGGUGCCUGCUGCCCAGCCUGAUGAUCCGAGUCCACUUUCUGGAAUCUCCAUGGUUGACUGCCUCCAAGAGUUCCUUCUACAGCUGGAAUGCAAGAUCCUGAGUGGAGUCCAGGUGGUGGGUCUGGGAGCCUCCAGAGAGUCAUGGCCAGUCAGGAUGGCUGCCGUCCCCGUGCUUCUGGAGAGGGGCUUAGCCAAGAGGAAGCCACCCCAAAGGCUGAUCUCCUGACAGUUGAGCCGGUCCCCUGACAUGUGGCAUGCUGCAGGUGGUGCCUUCCCUUUCCUCUGUUGUCCAGCUCUGACAGACAGCCAGGAUGGCAGGGUGUCCAGCCAGGCCACUGGUGGUAUAGUGCCAGGGAAAUGUUAGUGCCCCCCCC
rnacentral:lncRNA from 1 species